UGAUGCUGGCACAAUUUCCAUUUGAAUUUUAUUGUCCACACAAUAUAUCAUAUGUCCACCCAAAUGAAGAAAAAGUUCAUGAGAUAUUAAUUAAGAACUUAGUAGGUUCCAUAAUGCAGGAAAAGCUUAAUCAUACAUCACAUUCUAACAUUAUAAUGCAUCUUCUGUUUACAUAACAAACCAUUCACCAUUAUGGUUAUACACUUAUACCAAUCUUUACUAAACAAACCUAACAUAAAAACAAACUAUUCAUCAUUCAUUAGUGCUGAAAGUUGUGUACAUUGUUAUAGUUAUUGAGAAGCAAGGUUAACCGGUAUUCCUCAUACCAGCAGCGAUCCCAUUUACAGUGAUAAGCAAAGCAUCUCUGANNNNN
rnacentral:lncRNA from 1 species